rnacentral:lncRNA from 1 species
UUCAUGCACAUACUGUCAUUAACUGCGCAAUGGGAUGCUGAUGUUGCCUUAGAGGCUGGUAUUAAUCUUUGUGGCAGAGCUUGCAGAAACCCUGCAUGCCUUCACUGACGUAAGUGUUGCUGUCCAUCUUUUUGAUCGUAAGAUUACUCCUUUAGGAUAUAAGGUAAUAUAAGGCUGCCAACCUUUAAAAAAACAUUCCAAGUUAGUAAAGGUAAAAGAUGUUCUUUUUCUUCCAGUACUGAAAAUUGAGUACAAAGUCACAUAAGAGUUGACAUCUAUCAUCCAAUUUCAUCAUAACUUUG